UAUGUGAUCGUCUCUCGCAUAUCAAUAAGCGGAGGAAAAGAAACUAACAAGGAUUCCCCUAGUAACGGCGAGUGAAGCGGGAAGAGCUCAAAUUUGAAAUCUGGUAGCCUUCGGUUGCCCGAGUUGUAAUCUAGAGAAGUGUUUUCCGUGCCGGCCCAUGUACGAGUCCCUUGGAACAGGGCGUCAUAGAGGGUGAGAAUCCCGUCCCUGACAUGGACCCCCGGUGCUUUGUGAUACACUUUCAACGAGUCGAGUUGUUUGGGAAUGCAGCUCAAAAUGGGUGGUGAAUUCCAUCUAAAGCUGAAUAUUGGCGAGAGACCGAUAGCGAACAAGUACCGUGAGGGAAAGAUGAAAAGAACUUUGAAAAGAGAGUUAAACAGUACGUGAAAUUGUCAAAAGGGAAGCGUUUGACACCAGUGUUGUUUUUCUGAAAAUCAAUUAAAGAACUGUUUAUGCUAAGCUGUUUAGACUUUAUCAGCUAUCUGUUUAGUUUUGAGCUUUUCUUUAAUGCACUUUUCAGUUAACAAGUCAACAUCAAUUUCUUUUGCUGUAAAAAAGCUUGAGGAAGGUGGCUUGAGAUUCGUCUUAAGUGUUUAUAGCCUCUUGCCUAUGCAGUCGGAGAGAUUGAGGUCUGCAGCGUAGAUCCUUCGGGGCUAAAUGCAUUUGUGCUAAGUUAUAGCAUUUUAUAGACAACUUGUUGACUAUGAUUUGUCUUGUAGCUUACUCGCUUAUGUUAUUUUACCUACGCUUAGGAUGUUGAAGAUAUGCGCGACAC
rnacentral:rRNA from 1 species